GUUCAUUGCACAUGCGGAAAGAAUGGCAUUGGAGGGUACAAAUCGUAGCAUGGAUUUACACGAUAUGCUAGUAACAGCAGGCGGGGCUAAUACAUAUAUGGCCAGGAUGGUUAGGGAAAAUUACUUACAUAAUGAGAAGAGUAGGGUUGUUGAAGAUUUCAGGAAGUUGUUUGAGUGCAUCAUAAACAUCGGACUGGAGAAGAAGAAAAAUAACAUUAGUUAUUUGAAGAGCUGUGGAAAUAUGUUGGUCGAAGGUAAAGAAAAUUGUAUAAUUACAGUUGCAUUAAAACGGACAUAAGAAAGUUGCGGAAUGUUUGACAGGUUUGAAGAUAGAAAGCUUGGAUUUAUUGAAAGGGAUCGGUGCUUCGAAAUACAGCAGUGUGGCAGGGUCGGCUACUGUUGUCAAUGAAAUUAAAGGGAAGGAGAAAGUGGGUGAUUGCGCUGGAAAGAGCUUACUUGGAGACGACAAGGGUGGUAUUUCUGAUUAUUCGAUGGGACCUCUUAAAAAAUUACCAAGGGACAAGUUGGGAAUGGAUGAGUGGUGUGAAAGGAAAGGGGUAUUUGUUCCAAUGACCGUGUUUGCGCAAGCAUAUUUAACAC